rnacentral:rRNA from 1 species
ACGGGAGGCAGCAGUGGGGAAUAUUGGACAAUGGAGGAAACCCUGAUCCAGCGACGCCGCGUGAGUGAAGAAGUAUUUCGGUAUGUAAAGCUCUAUCAGCAGGGAAGAUAAUGACGGUACCUGACUAAGAAGCCCCGGCUAACUACGUGCCAGCAGCCGCGGUAAUACGUAGGGGGCGAGCGUUAUCCGGAAUUACUGGGUGUAAAGGGAGCGUAGACGGCAUGGCAAGUCUGAAGUGAAAGCUCGGGGCUCAACCCCGGAACUGCUUUGGAAACUGUCAGGCUAGAGUACCGGAGGGGUAAGCGGAAUUCCUAGUGUAGCGGUGAAAUGCGUAGAUAUUAGGAGGAACACCAGUGGCGAAGGCGGCUUACUGGACGGUAACUGACGUUGAGGCUCGAAAGCGUGGGGAGCAAACAGGAUUAGAUACCCUGGUA